AUUGAACGCUGGCGGCAGGCUUAACACAUGCAAGUCGAGCGGGGGAAGGUAGCUUGCACCUUAGCUUAGCGGCGGACGGGUGAGUAAUGCUUAGGAAUCUGCCUAUUAGUGGGGGACAACAUUCCGAAAGGAAUGCUAAUACCGCAUACGCCCUACGGGGGAAAGCAGGGGAUCUUCGGACCUUGCGCUAAUAGAUGAGCCUAAGUCGGAUUAGCUAGUUGGUGGGGUAAAGGCCUACCAAGGCGACGAUCUGUAGCGGGUCUGAGAGGAUGAUCCGCCACACUGGGACUGAGACACGGCCCAGACUCCUACGGGAGGCAGCAGUGGGGAAUAUUGGACAAUGGGCGGAAGCCUGAUCCAGCCAUGCCGCGUGUGUGAAGAAGGCCUUUUGGUUGUAAAGCACUUUAAGCGAGGAGGAGGCUACUUAGAUUAAUACUCUGGGAUAGUGGACGUUACUCGCAGAAUAAGCACCGGCUAACUCUGUGCCAGCAGCCGCCGUAA
rnacentral:rRNA from 1 species